AGAGUUUGAUCCUGGCUCAGAACGAACGCUGCGGCAGGCUUAACACAUGCAAGUCGAGCGCCCCGCAAGGGGAGCGGCAGACGGGUGAGUAACGCGUGGGAACGUAUCCUUUACUACGGAAUAACGCAGGGAAACUUGUGCUAAUACCGUAUGUGCCCUUCGGGGGAAAGAUUUAUCGGUAAGGGAUCGGCCCGCGUUGGAUUAGCUAGUUGGUGGGGUAAAGGCCUACCAAGGCGACGAUCCAUAGCUGGUCUGAGAGGAUGAUCAGCCACAUUGGGACUGAGACACGGCCCAAACUCCUACGGGAGGCAGCAGUGGGGAAUAUUGGACAAUGGGCGCAAGCCUGAUCCAGCCAUGCCGCGUGAGUGAUGAAGGCCCUAGGGUUGUAAAGCUCUUUCACCGGAGAAGAUAAUGACG
rnacentral:rRNA from 1 species